ensembl:lncRNA
CCUACAGGUAACUGUCCCCUACAGGUAACUUUCCCCUAUAGGUAGCUGUCCCCUACAGGUAACUGUCCCCUACAGGUAACUGUCCCCUACAGGUAACUGUCCCCUACAGGUAACUGUCCUCUACAGGUAACUGUCCCCUACAGGUCCCCUACAGGUAACUGUCCCCUACAGGUAACUGUCCCCUACAGGUAACUGUCCUCUACAGGUAGCUGUCCUCUACAGGUAGCUGUCCCCUACAGGUAACUGUCCCCUACAGGUAACUGUCCUCCACAGGUCCCCUACAGGUAACUGUCUCCUACAGGUAACUGUCUCCUACAGAUAGCUGUCCCCUACAGGUAACUGUCCCCUACAGGUAAGUGUCCUCUACAGGUAGCUGUCCCCUACAGGUAACUGUCCCCUACAGGUAACUGUCCCCUACAGGUAGCUGUCCCC